AUUGUUAUUCAAAUUUUAUUUUACCUUUUUUUUUCUUUAUUAAGAUCCUAAAAUUCUAAAUUUAUAAUUUUUUACCACUAAUUUUUUUAUGACUUGAUAGUAGAAUGAAAGAAUUAUCUGAGAAUUGAAUUGAGCUUACCUAUACUUCCAUGAUUCCAUCUUAAUGCCUUAUAAACUUUCACUAAUCAAAUUUGGCGGAGAUCUAUAAAUAGCACUCUCAUGAUGAAAGCGGGAAACUCAAUCACUAGUCUGCUGAAAACUGCCAUGGCGGAUAGGAGAGAGAUACUAGAACCUUACGAACUCGAUUACUCUGAUCUCAUCUCCGUUUCAUCAUCAUCAUUGGCGGAGAUCAAACGACUCGAAUCAGUGACGGUAGCAGUUAUGGAAGCCCUAGGGCCUACUGGUCCAGGACUUCUCACCAUUACUGGAAUCCCUAAUGUUUCAGAACACCGUAACUAUCUGCUCUCUCGCGCAAGGGAUCUUUCGCUUCUUCCGCAUCACUAUCGCAACCGUAUUCUUAAGGAUCAUGGCUUAGGGAGUGAUGUUCCGUUGAAGAAUUUGGAUAGAUGUGUCUCUUCAUUUGCAAUGCAGUUGAAAUAUGAGCAUGAUCUGGAUUCGAGUAACUUGAGCCAAGAAAGCUCAAAGGAUAUUGAAAAACCCAUUUCUGUUGAUGAAAAUAUUGUUUCUGAGGGGUAUGAAAAGUCGAUGGAUGAUCACUUCAAGGCUCUUGGUUGUAGCUUUAGAGAACUUGGAUUAUGUAUGAUGGACCUGGGACUUCGUGUAGCACGGAUUUGUGAUAGGGCUAUCGGCGGAAAGGUAUUGGAGAACAGCUUGUUGGAGUCAGGGACAGCAAAGGGUCGUCUCAUUCACUAUCAUUCUUCUCUCGAUACUUUUAUAAUCAAAGAAUCAGGCAGAAGAAAGGGGUCUAAGAAAGGACAGCAAAAAUCAGAACCAAAGAGCUUGCAUUUUAAGGAUGAAAUGAAGUCCUGCAGGAUUGAUCAAAUGCAUAGAGUUGGCAAUAGUGGAAGGGCAUGUGUUAAAAGUUGUGACCUUUGGCAACAGUGGCAUUAUGACUAUGGUACUUUUACUGUUCUUACUAGUCCAAUGUUUAUAAGACCAAGAAGUUUUCAGAUGGGCAAAAGGGAAGAUGAUUGUCUGCUUUCUGGAGGGUUGGAAUGCCCGUCACCCAGUGGUAAUACUUAUUUGCAGAUCUUUCAUCCGAACAAGAAAACCAUUUGUACUGUAAAGGCGCCUCCUGAUAGUUUCAUUCUGCAAGUGGGUGAGUCGGCUGAUAUACUGUCAAGACAGAAGGUUCAGGCAACUCUUCACUCCGUUUUACGACCAAUAGAACUAGAAAACCUGAGCAGGGAAACUUUUGUUGUAUUUUUACAUCCAGCUUGGAAUAAAGUAUUUGAUAUUUUAGAUUAUCCUGUGGAGCAGGUAACCUCUUAUGAUCAUUUUCAGAAACAUGUGGAGACACCUGAAAGUGAUGAAGAGCUUAAAAAACUAACACAAGAUAUUGACAAUAUAAUUCCUCCCCUUUCUACUCGGCUAAAGAAUGGGAUGAGCUUUGCAGAAUUCUCCCGUGAAACGACCAAGCAAUAUUAUGGUGGUAAUGGUUUGCAAUCAAACAAAUGAGGAUCGGGAGGCCAGAAAAUUAUGUAUUUAUGUUCAUUCCCCGUAGCCUUAGCAGAGGCACAUAGUGCAAUUUGUGGAUGCUGGAUCAAAGUAAACGAAGUGUUGUACCUGAUUUGUGGAUAGAUUCAGUGUCCGGUUAUAUGAUUUUUUUUUAGAAAGGGUGAAUAAAACGGUUGCUGUUCUGGAAACCACAACAUGGUCAUUUCUCAAAGACUUCUUGGAACUUUCUUGCAAACUAUUUAAAGUUUUAUAUCUGGCUCUUUGCAGUUUGAUCAUUUCAAACAAUCCAACGUGUUGAAGCGUAAAGCAACACUAUUAAUGAUUUGAAAUUAGAAUUUCUUUGUAUACCUAGCUGAAUGAAGGGAUAGACUUGAAAUUAGAUAUUUCUUUGUUUGUUCGUUGUCCUAAGUAGUUUUCUGAGAGAGAAAAAAGGAACUUGUCAAACUGAAUUUCCAUCGUUCAUACUCUACUCAUGUCUGUUCAAAGUGGAAUCAUGCACCCACUUAAAAAAGUGUCAUUUCUUCAAUCUCCGUCAUUUUGAUUGUAAUCUACUUGUUUUAGUUGUUUCCAGUUUGUUCUUGGCUACUUGUGUAUAAUUUUAUUACCCUGAUAAAACUCACAUUGGAACUAAUAUUCUGAUUCACCAUCUUAUCUAUCUCUGAAUUAUUAAUUUAAGUGUCUCGAGUCAGACUCUUGUCUGUGGAGUUCACCGCUGCAAAUGUGAUGUGCGUGGGGAGCUUCUUGUGCUACAAUCUCUGAAAAUGAGGGGUAUGAACACCAGCUUAUUGUGCUACAAUUUUCUGAGAAUCAGGCGUAUGAGCACAACAGAGGUUGUUGUGCUAACUAGCUCUCUGACGGUUGCAUCCGGAUUUACAUCAUUAAUAAAACUCGACUUUUUAACCUUAAUUACUAAGGCGUCUUUCUUUUUUAUGCACUUUUGCUUAAAUUCUAUAUCUCUACUUGAUAAUCACAAGGGUAGGACUAUUAGUUAGACACAGUGGUUUCUUGAUGAGUAAUU